GCCCUGUCUUCAACUAGAAAGAAGCCAUGUGGGGAGGCUUCCCUCCAUAUAGCAACGUUGUGCUGCCUGGAAGGAGCUGCUGUCCUCGCUGCCUUGCUCCACACUGCCGUCUCCUGUGGCUUUGGCUCUAAAGGAAAAGUUUACUUCAGUUUGAGGGUAUUUUUGUGCACUACCUUCUUUCUUUUAUUUUUUUUGUUUUGUUUUUGUUUGACAGCCAUGACAGCCUCUCCUCAUUAUUAUGGAAAAUAUAGGGUUGGUGGUAAUUACUAUCUGAGUCUGAAUGGGAGCAGAAGUGGGCAUAGACGGCACUGGCCUUUCUUUGACAAGCACCAGACCUGCCUAAGAAUUGCAUCUGUAUCAUGAAGAGCCAUGGAAUAAUUUACUUGUAGGUGGAGUUUCCUGCUGAGCCAAAUUUAUUUCAGGCUUGCUUUGAAAUGUAAAAGAAAAGGCCAUGGUUGCCAAAUGAAAAUAGAUGUAUUUCCAUUGGGUACAGUGGGAGAAAUGGGUAAGAGAGCAGCAACUAAAGCAGAGAAGAAGGAGGAAGAUCUGAUUAAUCGCUUUCAGAUGAAGGUAGGUGCAUUCAGAUGGGGAUUUCAGAGUUUUCUUCCUUGCUUUAUGGCAAAAGUUCUCUCUUACAGGAAACACCAUGUUUUUCACUGCAAAAAACAUGAAGGA